rnacentral:rRNA from 1 species
UAGUCCACGCCGUAAACGAUGAGUGCUAAGUGUUAGAGGGUUUCCGCCCUUUAGUGCUGCAGCAAACGCAUUAAGCACUCCGCCUGGGGAGUACGGCCGCAAGGCUGAAACUCAAAGGAAUUGACGGGGGGCUCACACAAGCGGUGGAGCAUGUGGCUUAAUUCGAGGCAACGCGAAGAACCUUAUCCUGGAUUUGACAUGCUUGGAUGGCUCGCCUGAAAGGGAUGAGUCUGCCUUCGGGUGAAACUUGCACAGGUGCUGCAUGGCUGUCGUCAGCUCGUGUCGUGAGAUGUAGGGUUAAGUCCUUAAACGAGCGCAACCCUUGUCCUUAGUUGCCAGCGGGUCAUGCCGGGGACUCUAGGGAGACUGCCGGUGUUAAACCGGGAGGAGGUGGGGACGACGGUCAAGUCAUCAUGGCCUUUAUGUCCAGGGGCUGCACACGUGCUACAAUGGGGCGUACAAGGGAAGCGAACUCGCGAGAGCAAGCAAAU